rnacentral:lncRNA from 1 species
GUUUGGGAAUUUGAUCUUUAUCUCUCUGAUGAUUUCUUGGAAGGUCAGAUGACAGUUUAAUUUCAGUUAAGGACUCCAUCCUGUUGUGGCCCAGGUUAGGAACCUAGUGUAAGACAAUUACCUCCUGUAACUUUAUUGACCACCUUUUCAUUUCCAUCUGUUUAUGUUCCUCUUGUCUAAAUCAAGGCAAGGCCCUGGCUGAACUCUGAAAGACCAGGCCAGUGAGCCAAAAAUUUCACCCCAGUCUUUAAUCCCUCUCACUUCCAAGAAUAUGCACUACUUCCCCCACCCCCAGGGAACAGAUGGUGGAGAGGCAGGGUCCUUGAUAGAAAGAACCUGCUCUCCUUCAGGAUCAUGUCUUGUGGGUUGGGGUAGAAGGGGUUGGAAAGAUGACCAGAAGCCCAGACUAAUCCACUGUUAUUAUCUGCUUGGCCAGCUAAGCCAAGAUCCUUAUUUCUGGCUUGUAGGCUCAAGCAUCAAGGUUCCGUGGGAAACAUUUAAAGAAUGUAGCAUGAGAACCUUGGUUUUGGCAUUAGAGAAACUCAGAUUCAAAUCCCCCCAGUUCUUCCCUUUCUAAUUGUUUCACCUUGGACAAGUCAUCUUUCCUCAUCAGUAAAAAGGGGAUUUUGCAUGAACUGAGAUAGUGGGUGUGGAAGUAUUUAGUGCGCAGCUUGGGAUGCAAUCUCUCCUCAUUAGACAGUUAUGAUUACUCAUGAUGCCAGAGUUGUGCCCAGUAUCUUAGCCAUGGGGUUGGUCCGAAUCAAGAAUCCUAGAGGGUAUGAAACCUGAGACUCUGCCACUCAGCAUCCUAACAACCCCAGGCAGUCCUUUCCAUUGUCCCCUUUCCAUCACUCCUGCCCCAUGCGUCACUGUCUUCAGUUCUACUGUCAUGGAAGCUCUGCCAUCUCAGGCAAAUCCCAUAGUCUCUGGUCCUCCCUGUUCUAGAAUUCUGCAUGAUGAGGAGUUGGACCAGCUGACUUCUAAGGGCUCCAUCUGACUUUGAAAGUCCUUCACUAGUUUCCUAAGCUCUCUGGGAAAAUCAAAUACUUUGUGUUCAAGAUACUGUACUGUUUUCAUCUGAAAGUCAGCAAAGAGGAAGAAUGUGAGAAGAACUUUAGAAUUAAUAUCCCUAGAGAAUAUCUAGCUUCCUCACGUGCACACAUAUGCCCAUUCUAUCUGUCCACUUACAUCUGAUAGCUAAGAUUGAGUACCAACUUUGGGCUCUAUUCUAAGAGCUACAGACAGACUCAUUUCCUUAAUUCUCAAAACAACCCAAUAAGGCAAGUAUACUAUAAAUUGCAUUUUACAUAAGGAAACUGAGGCAUAGAGGGUUUAAGUAAUCCAAACUGGGGCUGGGUGCAGUGGUGCACGCCUGUAAUCCCAGCAGCUCAGGCAGCCGAGGCAGGAGGAUCUGAAGUUCAAAGCUAGCCUCAGCAACUUAGCCUGGCCCUAAGCAACUUAGUGAGACUGUCUCAAAAUGAAAAACAAAAAGGGCUGAGGAUGACCUCAAACUUUUAAAAAAAGAAAAAGGAAAAACAAAGUAGUCCAGGCUGGUAGUUGGUGGAGAUGGGGUUCCAUCUCAGACAGUCUGGCUCCACGGCUUGCACUUCUGCUGUACUUAUUUACUUCCUGCCACACUUCGCUGAAGCCCAGAGAAUGAAGGAGACUUGCCCAAAGCCACACAGUCAUUUUCCUGAUGAUCACUGAUCAUUUAGCCUUUGAAAGAGCCAGAUUGAGGGGCCAAAAUAAGCCAAACCUUAAGAUGUCAUAGCCUCCCCCAGUCUAUAGCCUCCUCCACCCACUAAAUCCCCGGGGGGGGCGGGUUCAUUAAAAGCAGAGAGGCCUAGGGUGUGGCCUCAGGGAGUCACAGGGUCAGCCUGGUGAUUAGUGCUCUUCAGAAUGGAACCUGGCUCUUCUGUCCAUCCUCCCAGGAAGCAGAAUCCCAGGAAGAAAGUUCCAAGUGGCCAAAGUAGAUGAGGCAGGGCUGGAGCAAGAAAAUGGGAAGAGAAGCCUGUAUUAGGGAGAAGGGUGAGAGCAGAGGGUGAAAAGGGAACAUGAACAUGUUUCGGAUGUGCACUGCAGGGGCCACACACUGCCAGGGAUUUUCUCAUACAUCCUGCACUGAAGGCACCAUCAUCCUCUCAUUUGACAAGGGAGGAAACUAAGGUCCUAAGGCCCACCCAAAGUUAUUAGGUGUGUCGACUGUGCAAACAUCCUCUUCCCCUAGAGAAAACAGGGAAGGAGAGCAGGAGACAGGAAAAGAGAGAGGAGGAGAGCCACAGUGGGAGAGAGAAGGAAGGAAGCAGGGGGCCUUGGCACUCUGCCCCAGCAAGGGCAGCAGGCCCAGAGUUGUCCUCCCGUCCCAGAAGGCGCACUGGGGGAAUGUUUAUGAGCAACCCCAGCCUUCAGAAGGAGCUUGACCUCCCAGCAUGCUGGUUCCUGCCCCGUGACUGCCCCUGGCUAUAAACAGACUGUUUAUUAACCUCAGGAAAUUGGCUCCUCUGCCACUUAGGUUUAUCUCCUGGGUUGGGAGCAGAGGGUGCCUGGCCAAGAAUUUCUCAAACUGGGGGAAUGGCUGCUAGGAACCUGUGAUCCUUAAAAAGCGUUACCAAGGGGGCCACAGAGAGCACUCAUUCUGCCCACUCCCACCCUUGCAGACGGCUCAAGGCUGUAUAGUAGUAGAUUAAGGGGUCGUAAAAGCUAGAGCUGGCCACUUAAGGGAUUGCGAAAUUUGACUGACUCAUCUUCUCAUUUUUUCUAAUGACCCCCAUCAUUAGAGCACUGUGGUGAAAUCCAAUGAAACGAUGUUUACACAGGCACUUGGUAAAUUGGAUCCUUCUUGUACCCAAGAAGUUGUUCCCUGGCCCACCUCAUCAGUCCCCCAUCCCACAAUCAAUCACUAGAACAAACUUGCACAGGAGACACACACAUAGCCAUGCUUAGCAGCACUUAUCAGUUUAUGUAACAUUAGUUCACUUCAUCACUCAAAGUCUUGGCUCUGAAAUGAGGGUUAUCAUAGUACAGACCUACGGGGGUUAUUGACAAAAGGAGUUGAGAUACUUUCUAUGAGGUGAGCAUAAUGUAAGACAUCUCUGUGCGCUCAGUCAUUACUUGUUACCCUAUUUUGUGUGUCCCUUAAGAAAUUCCAUAAGCCAGACACGUAGCCCACACCUGUAAUCCCAGUGGCUCAGGAAGCUGAGGCAGGAGGAUCACAAAUUCAAAGCCAACUUCAGCAAUUUAGCAAGGCUCUAAGCAACUCAGUGAGACCCUGACUCUAAAUAAAAUAAAUAAAAAAGCUGGAGAUGUGGCUCAGUGGUUGAGUGCCCCUGAGUUCAAUCCUGAUAAAAAUAAAUAGAUAGAUAGAUAGAUAGAUAGAUAGAUAGAUAGAUAAAUUUAUAAAAGGCCCCUAGGGGCAGAAGAGAGGGUGAUUCUUUCCCUGAGCAGCAUGAAGGGUCACAGCUGGUAUUUCUAUUACAAAACACAGGUUAAUAAAGGAUGUGCAUAACAGAUUCAUUUGAUUAUUUUACCUGGCACAAGAGCCUCCAUAUAGAAGAUCCAAAUAUGGAGGAUGUGUUGGGCACAGUGGCACAUGCCUGUAAUCCCAGAGACUCUUAAGGCCCCGGUAAAAUAGCAAGUUCAAGGCCAUCCUGGGAAACCUAGAGAGACCCUGUCUCAAAAUUUAAAAAAUAAAAGGGGGGUUGGGGAUUUAGCUCAGGGGCAGAAUGCUUGCUUAGCACGUGCAAGGCCCUGAGUUCCAUCCUCAGCCCCGACCUCCAUCCUUGGCCCUGAAAAAUUUUUUUUAAAUAAAAAGGGCUGGGGAUGUAGAUCAGUGGUAAAGCCUUCUGAGUUGAGUCCCUAGCAACACACACACAUACACACACACACACACAGAGAGACACAGGUCAGCCAUAUAAAAAUAUAAUUGGACAAAAUGAUGCGAGCUAAAGUUAACAGACGGAGUGGAGUCGGGAACCCAGGAAGACCUGGCUACUCAGAUUCCUCUUGGCCUCCUUGUAAAGCACCCCUUCCUCCUGGACAUAGGGCAGGACCCCUUCUGAAAUGGGGGUUUUAUGAUGUGCUAUCAGACAGAGUAGGUCAGAGAAUNCUCUGCCAUCUCAGGCAAAUCCCAUAGUCUCUGGUCCUCCCUGUUCUAGAAUUCUGCAUGAUGAGGAGUUGGACCAGCUGACUUCUAAGGGCUCCAUCUGACUUUGAAAGUCCUUCACUAGUUUCCUAAGCUCUCUGGGAAAAUCAAAUACUUUGUGUUCAAGAUACUGUACUGUUUUCAUCUGAAAGUCAGCAAAGAGGAAGAAUGUGAGAAGAACUUUAGAAUUAAUAUCCCUAGAGAAUAUCUAGCUUCCUCACGUGCACACAUAUGCCCAUUCUAUCUGUCCACUUACAUCUGAUAGCUAAGAUUGAGUACCAACUUUGGGCUCUAUUCUAAGAGCUACAGACAGACUCAUUUCCUUAAUUCUCAAAACAACCCAAUAAGGCAAGUAUACUAUAAAUUGCAUUUUACAUAAGGAAACUGAGGCAUAGAGGGUUUAAGUAAUCCAAACUGGGGCUGGGUGCAGUGGUGCACGCCUGUAAUCCCAGCAGCUCAGGCAGCCGAGGCAGGAGGAUCUGAAGUUCAAAGCUAGCCUCAGCAACUUAGCCUGGCCCUAAGCAACUUAGUGAGACUGUCUCAAAA